GUCCACAUCAUGUUCAAACACUUGUUCGCGUACGAUCACCGAAGUUAAGCCACGUCGAUCCCGAUCAGUACCUAGAAGGGUGACCGCUUGGGAAUACCAGGUGCUGUAA